rnacentral:rRNA from 1 species
CCUACGGGGGGCAGCAGUGGGGAAUAUUGGACAAUGGGGGGAACCCUGAUCCAGCCAUGCCGCGUGUGUGAAGAAGGCCCUCGGGUUGUAAAGCACUUUCAGUGAGGAAGAACGCCUGGUGGUUAAUACCCAUCAGGAAAGACAUCACUCACAGAAGAAGCACCGGCUAACUCCGUGCCAACAGCCGCGGUAAUACGGAGGGUGCGAGCGUUAAUCGGAAUUACUGGGCGUAAAGCGCGCGUAGGUGGCUUGAUAAGCCGGUUGUGAAAGCCCCGGGCUCAACCUGGGAACGGCAUCCGGAACUGGCAAGCUAGAGUGCAGGAGAGGAAGGUAGAAUUCCCGGUGUAGCGGUGAAAUGCGUAGAGAUCGGGAGGAAUACCAGUGGCGAAGGCGGCCUUCUGGACUGACACUGACACUGAGGUGCGAAAGCGUGGGUAGCAAACAGGAUUAGAUACCCGUGUAGUC